GCAAGUCGAACGGAGUAAUAAUUUGCUUGCAAAUUAUUGCUUAGUGGCGGACGGGUGAGUAACGCGUAGGAAUCUGCCUUAUGGUGGGGGACAACAGUUGGACACGGCUGCUCAUACCGCAUAUUAUUUUCGAAUAAAAGGUGGAACUUAGGUGCUGUCGCCAUAAGAUGAGCCUGCGUUGGAUUAGCUAGUUGGUGGGGUAAUUGCUUACCAAGGCUGUGAUCCAUAGCUGUUCUGAGAGGAAGAUC
rnacentral:rRNA from 1 species